rnacentral:rRNA from 1 species
AACGCGAAGAACCUUACCCAGGCUUGACAUCCUGCGAAUUUCUCCGAAAGGAGAAAGUGCUUUAUUGAGCGCAGAGACAGGUGAUGCAUGGCCGUCGUCAGCUCGUGUCGUGAGAUGUUUGGUUAAGUCCAUCAACGAGCGCAACCCUUGUGACUAGUUGAAUUUUUCUAGUCAGACUGCCCUGGUAACAGGGAGGAAGGAGGGGAUGAUGUCAGGUCAGUAUUUCCCUUACGUCUGGGGCCACAAACACGCUACAAUGGCCGGUACAAAGGGCAGCCAAGUCGCAAGACGGUAGCAAAUCCCAUCAAAGCCGGUCUCAGUUCGGAUAGCAGGCUGAAACCCGCCUGCUUGAAGCUGGAAUCGCUAGUAAUGGUAGGUCAGCUAUACUACCGUGAAUACGUUCCCGGGCCUUGUACACACCGAGACGUA